rnacentral:rRNA from 1 species
UACGGGGGGGGCAAGCGUUGUCCGGAUUUAUUAGGCGUAAAGAGCUCGUAGGCGGCUUAGUAAGUCGGGUGUGAAACCUCCAGGCUCAACCUGGAGACGCCACCCGAUACUGCUGUGGCUAGAGUCCGGUAGGGGAGCGUGGAAUUCCUGGUGUAGCGGUGAAAUGCGCAGAUAUCAGGAGGAACACCAGCGGCGAAGGCGGCGCUCUGGGCCGGUACUGACGCUGAGGAGCGAAAGCGUGGGGAGCAAACAGG